rnacentral:rRNA from 1 species
GAUCUCAAAUCAAGUAAGACUACCCGCUGAACUUAAGCAUAUCAAUAAGCGGAGGAAAAGAAACUAACAAGGAUUCCCCUAGUAACGGCGAGUGAAGCGGGAUGAGCUCAAAUUUGAAAUCUGGCUGGUUUACUAGUCCGAGUUGUAAUUUAAAGAAGCGUUUUCGGUGGCAGCCUGGGUAUAAAUCCUUUGGAAUAGGGUAUCAUAGAGGGUGAGAAUCCCGUCUUUGACCUAGUGCAUGCUACUAUGUGAUACGUUUUCAAAGAGUCGAGUUGUUUGGGAAUGCAGCUCAAAAUGGGUGGUAAAUUUCAUCUAAAGCUAAAUAUUGGCGAGAGACCGAUAGCGAACAAGUACCGUGAGGGAAAGAUGAAAAGAACUUUGAAAAGAGAGUUAAACAGUGCGUGAAAUUGUUGAAAGGGAAACGU